rnacentral:rRNA from 1 species
GACGAACGCUGGCGGCGUGCCUAAUACAUGCAGGUUGAGCGCUGAAGGUUGGUACUUGUACCAACUGGAUGAGCAGCGAACGGGUGAGUAACGCGUGGGGAAUCUGCCUUUGAGCGGGGGACAACAUUUGGAAACGAAUGCUAAUACCGCAUAAAAACUUUAAACACAAGUUUUAAGUUUGAAAGAUGCAAUUGCAUCACUCAAAGAUGAUCCCGCGUUGUAUUAGCUAGUUGGUGAGGUAAAGGCUCACCAAGGCGAUGAUACAUAGCCGACCUGAGAGGGUGAUCGGCCACAUUGGGACUGAGACACGGCCCAAACUCCUACGGGAGGCAGCAGUAGGGAAUCUUCGGAAAUGGACGAAAGUCUGACCGAGCAACGCCGCGUGAGUGAAGAAGGUCUUCGGAUCGUAAAACUCUGUUGGUAGAGAAGAACGUUGGUGAGAGUGGAAAGCUCAUCAAGUGACGGUAACUACCCAGAAAGGGACGGCUAACUACGUG